rnacentral:lncRNA from 1 species
UUCUCAAGCAUGGAAUUGAACACAGAUAGUAUCAGAUGUGAUGAAUAUGGAUCAAAUAAAAUAUCCCUGGCUACAAAUAUUUAGCUGGACAUUCUGAACAUCUAGCUAUAUAUGAACUGCUGCAUUGUGUUAUUCAUCUCUCUACUAUUUGGACAUAUAGAUUCUUCAUCUCUCUACAUGGUACUAAGUACUUUCAAAUGUAUGUGUAUGGUGUUAAUAUGCAUGGGCAGAUGCGCUAGCUAUUUAAUUUUAUUAAGUUAUAUUCCUUCCGUUUCAAAAUAUAGACUUAUAGCUUUUGUUGACUAUCAAAACCAAGUUUAUAGAAAAACAACAACAACAUUUAAAGCUCCAAAUCAAGAUCACUAGAUCUAUCAUGAAAUAUGUUUUCAUAUGUAUUCAUCUGAAAUAACUGAUGUUAAUAUUUUUGGCGGUAAGCUUCGUCAAAGUCUAGAAAGUUUAACCGUCAACAAAGUUAUGAGCCCUAUAUUUUGGAAUAGAUGGAGUACAUGGAAAUGUGACUUAAUAAUAAGGAUUCCAUUUAGUCAGUGCUGAGUUACAACGAACGGAUAUAAAGUUAAUAUUCAUAUCGUCUAGAAACUUAGUAUCUAGCUUAUACAUGUUUCUCCGUGGGAAAUUAUAACGAAUACCUAUCUCCUAAAUUACCAGGGACGACAUAGAGAAAUAAACCGGCUGACCGGAAAACGAGAUACUCGCAAUAAAAAAAAGAAAGAAAGAAGAAAACACACAGGCGCCCGCGCGACACACCCGAUAGCAGAAAAAGAAAGACCAGGCAGUCCUUCGGUGAACGGUGAGAACACACACUGGCAUGGCAGAGCUCCGAUCCCCACGGGAUCCUUGCCUGUACAAAUAAGCAACCCCUGCUGUACUGUAGCAUAAACUGCCCAUUAUCCUCUUUGUCUGCUCACUCCAAGAGACCUAGCCCCCCUCUCCAUCAUCAGAUCUGAGUACUCUUCCCAGCCGCCGGCCGGCGCCGACACCCCAUGGAUCAGAGGCGCCAGAGCUCCCGGAUCAGAGGCAUCACCCCUUCCCCGCUCCCUCCUCUCCCACGGAGCAUCCGUCGCCGCAGAUCUCCUCCCCUACCCCCACCACGCCCCGCCGGCGCUGUCCCUCUGCUCGUCCCCAAUCUCCCGAUCCCGAGCGUCGACGGCGAGCAGUCACCAACCCUCCCUUUGGAUGUGAUUCUCGAGAUCGCCGCUCGCUCCGACGCUGUCUCCAUCGUCCGCUGCGCCGCCACCUCCAAACCCCUCCGUCUCGCCAGCCUCGCCCAGGCCUUUCGAAGCAAGCUAGCCGAGGCCGCCCCGCUUUGACCCCGAUCUCCUCCGCGGGGUCUCCUACAAAGUGGACG